GCGGGAGUAGCUCAGUUGGUAGAGCAUCAGCCUUCCAAGCUGAGGGUCGCCGGUUCGAACCCGGUUUCCCGCUCCA
rnacentral:tRNA from 1 species